ACAAUUCAAAAGGAAACUUAGUAAAAAGUCAUUGUCAAUAAUAGCUUAAACAUCUACUUCACAAAUAAGUAAGCAUCUGUUAUGCUUCCCGUAAAUCAUACAUCAUUUAUAUCAAUUUAAUCAGUUUUGAGUUACAAAUUUGAUAAAGAACUUAAUACACAAUUGUCUAAUAUUUUUUGCCUUUCAAUCAAUCUAUAUACUUUUUUUAAAUAAUUGUCUAUUGUUUUUGUAUGUAACACACUAUUGAAGAACAUGAUAGACAGUUGUAUUCACUCUUAUACUUGUUGCAGAAGCUUAUAGCAACACCUUCCUAUCCAUGUAAAAUUAGUCACAUGCUAGUCCCCCAUUGCUCCAAUAUUGCCUAUACCAGCAAAUUUAUAAGUCAAUGAUAUUAAGUAGGGAGAUUGUUUUAUUAGUCUUCAAAUGAGUGCAAGUGAAAACUGUUUAAUCUACAAUAAUUUUAUCAUUAAAUUCUUCAUCGCCAUUCCAAAAGGGAAAAUGAAUUCGAAUAAAACUUGAAUGAACAUUGCAUUUAACACAGACAAUAUCAAAUUUAAUGUGUUCUUGUGAUUCAAAACAGACAAGUAACUUGGUUUAUUGCAGUCAUUUGGUAAAAAAAAUGACUCUGCCUCUCUAGUAUCAAUUUUCCAACAAUCAUUGAUUUAUGAUCAUUUAUGUAAAAAUCUUAAUUCAGCACUAUGAAAUGGCUCUGCAAAGUCAAUAGUGAAUUUUCUAACAAACAAAAAUGAAUAUUCUUUAAAGGAACUACAGUAGGGAGAUUGAAAUUAAAUAGGAAGGUGAUAAAAACAAAAUGCAACCUAGCUGAGAAAACAUAGUCUAACAGAUGGCUGAAGAUAGGAAGGGUAGAAUUAAUUAGAUACCUUGAAGGAGAAACUCUCAAACGUGUAAUUGGUUGUGAUAUCUUCCACACUAACAUUAAGAAGAGGUACUAUUUAAAAAAAAUUAAAAUUAAAAGUCAAUCCCAGGGUAAAUCUAAUAUUGUUAAAUUGCAUACCUAUUUAAUCUUAACCAUCAAAUGCAUGAAAGAAUUAAAAACAGGUUCUUGUCCAGGUACCCCAUCAUAACUGUUCCAGUUUUGUAUCAUAGGGAACUCAAUUCCACCCUUACAUAUUGUUUCAUCUCUGUAACCUUCCAUUGAUCCUAACAUAUCGUUCUCUCUCAUCAAACUGAUUAUAAGUUUAAAAAUAACGAUAAUCUACUAAAAGUAUUUAAUUACUUAAAUGUAUCAUCCUAAAGUAUUUCAUUGAUCAUAAAGCAUAAGCAAGACAGUUAAUUAAAGAUGAUACUAUAAUAUCCAUGUUUGGGUACAAUAGUUUGAGAACUAAAGUUUAGGAUGUUACGUUAGUUCAUAGAACCGCAACAGCCAAAAAGCAAGGGCAUCAUGAAAUCAAUCAAAACAGGC
rnacentral:lncRNA from 1 species